UAUACCACACUAAAGUCGAAUCACCUCUUCAUCAUGCAAUACAAAUCAUAACUGUUUCUCAUAAGAUUGAUUCUUGUUAUUAAAAAGUUUCUAGCUAAUAUUCCAUUUCAAUGCAAAGUAGACAUGACACAUGUUGAUAACAAUCUUUUGUCAAUCUUAGAAUCUUGUUAUGUACUUAUGUCGAAGUCACAACAAGCGACCAACUUACCGAAUAAAACUGAAUUCAAUCACAUAUAAAACCUGAUAUGGCAUAAAAACCUGCAUAUAAGAUAUAUACCUUGUGCAUUAAUAUGGUGAUUAUAAGAAGUGCAUAUUAGUUCUUUGGGUGAAAUGCCACAUAUAUAAAUACACAAUGUUGUCGUAACUUCAUGCUUGUAAAAGAAAAAAGUUCCCAAAAAAAAGGUCCAGAAUACUUUUUUUUUUGCUAUACACCAUUUCUGUCGGUGCCACACUUUUCUUACUCAAAUUUCACACAAAGGUGGUGUGCAUAAUACUUGAAUCAACUUAAUUCGUGAGUUCGGGUUAAAUUCGGAUAAGAUCCGAGUGAUUUAUUUGAUUUCUUGAGUGGGAUUUAACUGAGGUACACUAGUGUUUUUGGAAAUUGUGUUUCAUGAUGAUAUUACAAAUCUUGAUUUGGGUGGUGUGAAUUGUGAAGAAGAGUGGUGGUAGCAGUAUUGAAAUGUUUUUUGCUGCUAGCCCGAGAAGAACACACACAAAUGAGAAACGGGUUUCUUUCGAUAUUGAAAAUGAUACAAAUGGAGGGUUGAAAUACUCAAAUACAACAGAUUUUGUUGAUAGAAAUAGAGAGGUUUUGGCAAGCAACAAGAGCCCGAUUGUUGUUGUCGAUAUACUCAAAACGUCGUUUUAAAUACUCGUUUGGUACACAUUCAGCAUAUUACUCACAUUGUAAGUAGGUCCCUUGAUAUUUGAUGUUAGGUUAAUGUCAUCUCGAAUUAUAGUGUCAUGUAAUGUGUUUGUUCAAUGUUUAGGUAUAAUAGGAAACUAUUGGGAGAUGAUCAGGGGAAAUUCCCCGCUCCUUUGUUAAUGAAUACGUUUCAUUAUGGAAUGCAAGCCGUUUUUUUCAAAGGCGAUUGUAAUCUUGUAUACUUUUGGUCCGAAGGAUUCCAACCAACAGUAACUAUGUCAUGGAAAAGACUACUUUACGAGAGGUUGGAAUCUCCAAGUUUUAAACUUUUAGGCAUUAUUUAUGUUGAUAAUAUCUGCUGGAGUUUUAUUAACAGGAAGUUGCAUUGUUAACUGAUGGGAAAUUUUUAGGUGGUUCCCAUGGAUAUGUUGUUGGACACAUUUGCCCUGAAGCACAGGUGUGCCAGCUGGUUAUGUGUUGUGAAGGGAUGUGGCUUGACCUGUUCGAAAAAAGGCUUCAAAUGGAGCAGGCUUUACUUUCAUGGUACUAUACUUAUCCGUUUAGUGUAAAAGAAUACUUUAUGUGGAUUGGUGAAUGUAUCAGAAAUGAGGGAAAGUAGUGCUAAAACAGAAGGAUAGACUUUGGAUCAUUAUUUGCAAACAUGAAGAAGAAAAGGAUAAAGGUUUUAUCUCAGCAGCAACACAACAAUAAUGUGGGGAGAAGAAAUGGACCAGGACAACCAAGGCAUAUGUUUUCUUCUAAAUGGCUAUUGAAGACCUUGAGAGGGAUCCACAUGAAGUAGUAGUUGCAUUAUUUGUAGAUAGCUUAUGAUCAAAAGUUUAUGUAAUAUAUUAUUUAAAUUUAAAACUUAUGUAUGGAUUUUGGUUUAUUAUUAUUA